rnacentral:rRNA from 1 species
GACGAACGCUGGCGGCGUGCUUAACACAUGCAAGUCGAACGGAAAGGCCCUGCUUUUGUGGGGUGCUCGAGUGGCGAACGGGUGAGUAACACGUGAGUAACCUGCCCUUGACUUUGGGAUAACUUCAGGAAACUGGGGCUAAUACCGGAUAGGAGCUCCUGCUGCAUGGUGGUGGUUGGAAAGUUUCGGCGGUUGGGGAUGGACUCGCGGCUUAUCAGCUUGUUGGUGGGGUAGGGGGUUACCAGGGCUUUGACGGGUAGCCGGCCUGAGAGGGUGACCGGCCACAUUGGGACUACGAUACGGCCCAGAAUCCUACGGGAGGCAGCAGUGGGGAAUAUUGCACAAUGGGCGGAAGCCUGAUGCAGCAACGCCGCGUGCGGGAUGACGGCCUUCGGGUUGUAAACCGAUUUCGCCUGUGACGAAGCGUGAGUGACGGUAAUGGGUAAAGAAGCACCGGCUAACUACGUG